CCUACGUGAGGCAGCAGUGAGGAAUAUUGGUCAAUGGGCGCGAGCCUGAACCAGCCAAGUAGCGUGAAGGAUGACUGCCCUACGGGUUGUAAACUUCUUUUAUAAAGGAAUAAAGUGAGGCACGUGUGCCUUUUUGUAUGUACUUUAUGAAUAAGGAUCGGCUAACUCCGUGCCAGCAGCCGCGGUAAUACGGAGGAUCCGAGCGUUAUCCGGAUUUAUUGGGUUUAAAGGGAGCGUAGAUGGGUUGUUAAGUCAGUUGUGAAAGUUUGCGGCUCAACCGUAAAAUUGCAAUUGAUACUGGCAGUCUUGAGUACAGUUGAGGUAGGCGGAAUUCGUGGUGUAGCGGUGAAAUGCUUAGAUAUCACGAAGAACUCCGAUUGCGAAGGCAGCUUACUAAACUGCCACUGACAUUGAUGCUCGAAAGUGUGGGUAUCAAACAGGAUUAGAUACUCUUGUAGUC
rnacentral:rRNA from 1 species